UGUCCAUUUUAGUCUAGGCUUUGCGUCGGUUGAAAGUACGAGUCCAGAAUCUACUGGUCCAUUCACUCCUCGCAUGAGCAAAUGCCUCUCUGGAGGGACUGCCAUUCUCGAGGAGGGAUGGAUGUUCUUUCCCUGAUGGUGGUUAUUAUACAUCUAUCUGAGGAGUUCUAAUGACAGUAAUGAUCCAAUCUGCUUCCCUCGGAGAGCUAAAAUUUGAUUCUGUUGAAAAUGCUGAUACUUUGCCAAAGAAACCCGUCUGCAACUGCUCUUAUCUAUCUGAUGUCUUGUUUGACCUAUUUUUACAGAACAAAGGUGUGCUCAACACUGUCCUUAUAAAGCAAAUGUUGGGUGGGGGGUGGGGAGAGGGUCCAAGCAAGGCAUAGAAUCUUGGACAGAGACAAAACCCGACCCAAUCCAAUCUUCACAGCGACUCGAAAAAAAAGAUCUCCUCGUUCCAGUUUUGCGCAUCUAUGGGCCCUCUGUCCUAUAUUCCACUUUCCUUUCUCACACAUAUCACUACUUAUUAAAUUCCUCUGCACCACACCUUUACAAAGAACUUCAAACCUUACAAUCGGUACUCGAAUAGAUCCAGCAAAGUUUUCUUCUAUGCAUUCUAUUCGUUGUGCGGCAAAGUUCAGAUGGAGACACUGCAGAAGUAUGAAACUUGAUAAAUUUGGGAGGGGGUUAGGGUGUGGAAGAAGAUUCUGUUGACUUGAGCAUCUACAAAUUUGGAAUUGGAUACAUCGAAAAGAAAGGAUAAAAGAAAAUGGUGGAGAGAUGCUCCUCCUUGAGUUUGUUUGAAGGCAAGGAAUGGAAUAAGGUAUACAUUCUAUUUUGUCCCCUUCAGUAACUUUGGUACAUAUUCAGCCCACACAGUAUCAAAAAUUGGAGGAGGGGGGCCCAAAUUCUUUUCAUUCUUGAAUUGGGUAGAAGACAACUGGCCCCACAUAGACGAAUCAGAAGCUGCCGGGACCCUUUCAAAAGAAAAAAAGGAUUGUACUUGCUUCCAUACUUGCAUUUGAUGAAGGACAUACAAAUCAUGAGCUGGAGAGGACCACUUGCACACUCAUAAUAACUUGAGCGUUGGUUGGCUUUGCAGAUUCUCUGGUGAAUCAACAGGCUCUUCUAGCUUUUCAUGCAAUAACUUCAAAAUUCGUUUCCACUUCUAAAUCUUGUUAGACAGACAUGCAUAUGGCUAUGCAUUAUGUCACCUUAUGACCUUACAAAAGGACAUUUCCGGUAUAAAUAUUGUUUUCCAGCUUUGCAUCAUAGUGCACAUAAUUCUUUGCAUUUCUUGUCAUAACUGUAGUCGGUUUCUACGUGAUUCAGAAAUUAAAAAAAAAAAAAAACUAUCAACUUUUUUAAUGCUAUCUUGUAUACAUUUACACAAGCAAUAUAGGUGCAUUGACGAUGACACUAGUAUCCUUAGUCUCUUGGGUAAUGCCAUGGGCCCAUGGCUGAGGUGCAAAUACUAUUUUAACUGUUGCAGUAGACUUCUAUAAACGAUUAUGAUCUGCUUCUUGGAUUAAUUAUGGUCAGGAAUUAUAUCGUGUGUAUAAAAUACAUAGAAUAAUUACAUGAUCAACAGCUAAGUGAGAAUAAAUUCCACACUAAGAAAUUGAGAAUAUUUCUUGCAACACUCAUCCACAAGAUUGAAAAACUGAACUUGUAAAUAAAUGAAGGUGCUGCUGGAUUUUUAGUGUCUAAAACAAAGCAUUCUGAGAUAAAAUUGCAAGUAGGUGACCUCUUUCUUGUUCUUAGACUCGUGCAUGUGUAUACGCAUAUACAUACGCGUCGCUAAAGUAGAAGUUCUCUCCCUUGAAAUGAAUUUUCGCAUUAGUUCCUUAGGGAUUCUGAUAUGUAGGAUAUAUUAUGCAGUUUGAGGGAAUAUGAGAACCCUUUAGGUAAAGUGCUAAAGCAGUAUUCCUUAAUAGUUUGCUGGCAUGUGGAUAGGAAUAAAUUGCACAAGGGGAAUAAUGUUAUGCCUUGCAGGCUACAACAUUAACUAGCUCCUGGAAUGUAUUCUGAUCAUAUUGUAGGUCAAAUGAUAGAGGAUUCGAUAUGAUAGCUUCAACAAUUGUUGGAUGGUAUUUGAUUGCAUAGAAAGUAUAAUUUCCUUGCGUGAUCCUGAUGCAUAUUAUGUGCUAAUCUGCUGCACCCAAAUUCAUUGUUGCCACAUUUUACCUCUAUGAUGUGAUUAAUAUAGUUUGUGCCCGUGGUACCCGCCUCUACCUGCAUGGUAUUUUGGCUCAGAGCCCAUGCUUAGCCCUCACGGAUUAAUUUCCGGUGCUCUGUACAAUCAAAAAGCACCUGCAUAGGAAGAGGGGGCGAACAUAUAUCAACUCAGGUUUAGAUGCUCUCUCCAGUGAAUUAGGAUUCCAUUCACCUCCCAGUUGCUAUAAGCAAAGAAUUUAGGGGCCUCUAAUAUCUGACAGUGAAGAUACGUUCUCCCAAGAAAUAGCAGUUAGGAUUUUCUUGUUUUGUCAUGAUUGUUGAAUGCCUUAUCUUGGAUAGGCUUCCCAUGUAAUGGGUAUGAGUAAGUUUGUAAGUAGUGAACCAUAGGCUUGAUUUAGAGUAGAUAUUGGACGCAACAGUGACAGCAGAUAAUAUUAGGGGUUGUC